UCUGACGUCUGGUGUGUUGUGUGUUGUAUCUGACGUCUGGUGUGUUGUGUGUUGUAGCUGACGUCUGGUGUUUUGUGUGUUGUAGCUGACGUCUGGUGUUUUGUUGUGUGCUGUAGGUGUCAGAGGGGAAGGUGGAGAAGGGAAGAGGUAUCUUCUACAAGGCUCUACAGGACGUCCCAUGGGCAAAGGGUUUAUACAUGGACGCGGUGCAACUCUUCCCUGAGCACGUGCAGGAGUUCCUGGACCUGAUGACCGAGAAGGAGCUCAGACUGAGGGUUCCCAUGGAGGAGGUGGACAUACUGCUGGAGGACUGAGGCUCUAAAACCCUUCCCACAGUGCACUGGGGCCUGGCUUCCUCAGCCACUCCACUGUGGAUACCCGAAGUUGUGCACUGACCAAUAGAACAACCAAGUGUCCUCAUGAAGAAGACCAUUUUACUUUUCAAACAGACGUGUGAAUAAAUGAUGUUACACUUAUUAGUGUUAAUUCAAUAUUUUGAUGGAUUGCAAAUCCAUAUUUUUAUAUUUCCAGCUUUUUAUGGAUUCUUAAUCCAUAUUUUGAUUAACAUAAUAUCCUAUUUUUCUGUCAAAGAUUUGUUUUGAAACAUUUUUUUUUUUAAUGGACUGAAAUAAAUGUUUUGUUUCCUAA